AUCGUGUGAAAAUGAAGAGACACAACCCAUAUUGUUGCCAUAAGUAAUACAAAAAUAUAAUAAAUAAUUCAGUGGUGUUACAUAAAAUAACGGAACAAAUGUCAAAAUAUAAAACUGAGAAAAAACUAACUUAAAUUCUACUCUGGGAAACUUUAUUUAACAAAACAAAAUCAUAAAUUCUGCAGUACUUAGAUACGCCGUUACAAGUCUCUACGAAAGUUAAAUGUUUAAGUUGAGUGUAAUUUACAAUUGAAUAUGUCUUUGCAGCCAUAAAUAUUUGAAAAUGUUUUUGUAUAUACAUAUAUUAUGUGUUAGUCAUAAUACUUCUCGCAACUUCAAAAAAAGUUACGCAAAUCGACGUACCUAUACGUUUAUGGGUGAAAAUGUAUCAUUCGAAAAUUCUACAAAUAGACACAUGAUAUAUAACCUCAAGCGCACCUCAUAAUUCGCAAGAGACUCCAACGGAAAUUUCCAAUAAUGUCAAAUUUGCAUGUUUGUUUUUGUUAUAAGUAAUUUUUAGAUUGUUUUAUUCGAAAAUUUCAAAAAAAUUCUAAGAAAAUUUAAUGCCGUUAAGUGGUGGAACGAUAUAAAAUCAGCAAUGAAUUCCAUCGGUCUACGGAGCGUCGCAUACAUAAUGCUAGUUGUUUGAAAAUUUACUGCCUUAGCUGAAAGUCAAUGAAAAAAGAAAUAAGUCAAGAAAUACAAGGUAUUUUAGAUAAGAGUGUAAUAAAGAAAUAAAGUGAACAACUGUUUUUUUUUUUUUGAGAAAUACACAUGGGUACUCAAAGAGAGAGGGGGGGAGGCUUGAAUUUCAUACUACUCUAUUACAAGUGAAGUGCAAGUACUUAGUUCAACGCUAGAAGGCAGCUGCUUUAAGGGUUAAGUGCCGAAUUGAUCAAGGAUUCAGUUAAAUUAAUGAAAUGAGCAUGAAAUGAAAUGCUGAAAUGUAACCGCAUAUACAUACAUACAUAUAUAAAUAUAAGAAAAUCACCUUAAGGGAGGGGCAUACUCACAUGUUACUAAAUGGCAGUAUUACGAAAUGAUAUGCGUAUGUAAGGAGAAAACAUGUAAAUAUAGACAUACGACACAGCUUCACAACUUAACAACCAGAUAAUUGAUAACCUUUCACAACGCCCUGCCAAAAUUAGGGAUGAAAUUUAAUUUUAUUCUCCCUUAUUUCUUAUUCAAAAAGGUGUCUUAGAACUCACAAAUAGCCAGCUUGGCAUGUUGCACUUGCAUUUUUGCGUCAUUAUCUGCUUGCUUGUCUUACAUGUAGAUACGAUUACGAUUGUGUACAUAUGUACAUACCAAUAUGUGGUAUGUGGGUGUAUGCGUAGUUACGUUUUGUGAGAAAAGUCGACCAGAAAUACGGUAAAUAACUUUAUCAAACAUAUUAUCUUAUUUAUAAGCAUUAUCGUGCCGUGUGUUCUUUUACUUGAUUAUUUUAUUUUUAAAGGUUUCCCUCUCCCUAUCUAUGAAAAUUUUACUUAACACACGACAGCAACAUCAGAAACACAGAAAAAUUUCCAUUAAAAUUUAAGAUAUCAUGCAGUUGUGGUUUUAGUAGAGAAAGUGUAGGAAUUGCACAAGGUGCUGAGGAAGGAAGGUGCUUAAAGUGGCUCAACUCAACAAUUUUUUGCGCAUACAAUAAAAAGGUGAAACCAAAUUUAAAUCAAAUGUCGCUUGACAGACAUAAUAUUAAGCAAACAUUUCAAACAACUAAAUAAAGAGUGAAAUUACACACGGACAUAGGUGAAUGUGUAUAUGUGAAUAAAUAUGUUUGGCAACUUCAGAGUUGCUUGCAAAUCUCAUACUAAGAAGACAAAUUUCAAAAAAUUGUGCGGUGUUUUGAAAAAAUUUACAGUUUCAUGCUGAAAAGUUCUGAAAAUAAUUUAAAACUAUUUUUAUUAAAAAAAACAAUCGUGAUAUAAAAUUAUGUGAAUAUGUGCAUAAUAUAUGUGAAGAAAAACAAUUUAAGGCUUUGUAGUAAAAAAAAAUAAUAUAUAACAACACUAUUUUUAUAAAAUAACAACCAAAAAUAUUUCUUUUUAAAUAAAUUUAAAAAAAGUGCUGAAAAUCUGCUGAAAUAUCAUUAAAAUCUACCAGCUACUUCAAUGCUAGCUGACGUUCGCGCUAUCGCAAGGCAUUCGACGUUCGACUCCAUUUUGAAAAAUAAAACAAAGAUGGUUGCGAUAAGGUAGAAUAAAUAAUAAUGACAAAUAAAAAUCAAAAAACUAAACCUAAGUAAUAUAAAACCAAUAAAAUACACGGGCAUAGCAUACGAGUAUGAGUAUAAUAACAACGGCUGAAGCAAACGAUGAAAGCCACGAAACGAAAAAUUGUAUAUGAAAUCAAAUAAAAAAUGAAAUAUUGUGACUACUGUUGGCGCAAUCGCUUUCGUACUUGACGGCCACCUUUGCUUUGCGCCAUAGCAGUUCAAGUGACAGCUCGUUAACGAUGACAACAACACGAGAAUAACGUCCUACCGCGCCUAACCAACGCCCUACAUACAGCCGACUAUCGACACAAACACACACACUCUCUCUCCCAUUGAGCUGCGUAUUUUUAUAUGCACAGCAAGCAGCACUUCAAACGGCAACCAACCCCAAAUGCGUGGCUGCCAAUGUAAGCUCUGCAAAUACCUGCUUGGUAGAUGGCAUGGUCGUAUGGUUGUGCCGUUGGUAGGCGUUUACGUACGAAUAUAUUGUCGACUGUUCCCCUCAUCCUUCGCGCCACUUUGCUUGAGUGCGGCAAUAAUUGAAAGAGUUUAUGGCUGUCACAAAGCACUAACGGACUUAUUACAUUAUGGCAUUAUGACAUUUCUGUUAUAAAUAGUUAAAAAAAAGACUUCACCAAAUGGAAUUUCCUUAAUAAUUAUUGCGGAAAUUAUAUGAAGUACCUUGGCGUUGGGGUGCGAUUACCUAAAUUCUAGUGAAGCUCGUUCACUCCGUCUUCACCACAGCUUCGCGUUCGUAUUUUCGUUCGUAUUCAUGCAAAUCGAAGAGGUUUUGCUGAUGCUGCAGAUGCAAGGCCAUCGAUUGUGCGUUGGCAUGUUGCUGGUGAUGAUGGUGCAGCUCAAUCAUCAAUUCGUCAUCUUCCAUUGAUGGACUGCGACUGAGCGCCACAUCUUGUGCCAGCAAAUGGGAGUUGUGCGAGUGUUGGUGGUGGUGUUGUUGUUGUUGUUGAAUACGAAUAUCCUCAUCGUGGAGCGGCACCAAUUCACCGAAAGUCGAAUGCGCCGGCGACACUGAACCAGCUGGACUAUGCGGUUCAAUUGAUUGUUGUUGAUGUUGUUGAUGUUGUUGCUGCUGCUGCUGAAGGUAAUGUUGAUGAUAUUGUAGCGGACUGCACAUAUUGUUCAAAUGCUGUUGUUGGUCAUAUUGCAGCUGAUGUUUGUGCAUCAAUUGUUGAAAUAUUUGUUGUCUUUGCUGUUGCUCCUGCAGUGGUGAUAAUUGCUGAUGUAAUGGCAGCUGUUGUUGUUGCUGAUGAUGCGUUGGCGUCGUCGGUGUGGUCGGCGUAGUCGGCGUUGGUGGCAUCGAUACCGUUGUGGAGGGAGACGAAUGUGGUGGCAUCAGAUGCAUAAGUUGUUGUGUCAUUAAUUGUUGCUGUUGCUGUUGCUGUUGCUGCUGUUGUUGAUGGCGCGGAGAAUGUGCUGUAUGAUGUUGUUGCUGCUGUUGGAUGUUCUGUAAUUGUUGUGAUUGAAUACCAUGACGAAGGCGAGUUGUAAUCAUUACCUGUAUUGUGUCCUUCUUCAUGUUCAAGGGACGUUUCACGCUGUGCAAUUUGAAGUAGAGUCCGCAGGCAUUGCAAACGGGCUCACCGCUGGGAUUGCGACGCCAGAGAGAGGUGUGUGUGGUGAGGCAAUUCGAGCAGGAAAGACCGACACGACGGGAUGCACUCUAAAUAUGAUAAACACAAUUAGUAUAUUAAAUUUGAAGAGUUAAGCGUAUAAGAGUUACUUCCAACAUUGCAGAUAUUAAACAUUUGCAAAUUUAUUAAAAAAUACAUUAUAUACGAAAUUGAUUGACUUUAAUUUUCAAAAAAAAAAAAUAUUUAUUUUAAAAAUUGCAAUUU